UUUUUCAGAUCUUGUUCUUUGUUGUCCUUUGGUAGAUGACGAAGAUGAAGAAUAAAAUGAGGACAGAGAGACGACGACAAAGACAGCGGCAGCAAUGAGGAAAAAGACGAUGACGACGCCAUAGCACCAUGAUUCCACAAAGCUCUCGGCGGAGCUCCGCUAACGUCUCCAUCACCUUUCACCCCCGGUGGACGAUCUGUCUUCUUCUGAUCUGGAAACUCGGCUCAACCAGAAAACAAUCGCUGACAUGCUCCUCCGCCUUGAUGAGCUCUUCAGAUUCGUAUGCUUUGCAAAUCUAUCAUUUACAUGUUGGAUCUCAAUAAAGAUCUUCAUUUUGUGCUGCUGAUUUGCUUGUGAUGCUAUGGAAAUCAUCAGGGAAACUAGGUAUUCUUGCUCCCCAUGUAAAUUUACUUAUUAGGACAUUCCCAUGUAGAUAUCACACCUUAUAUCUUGUGCUUUUAAAUGUUUUUGUUCUGGUUUUUUCUGUUAAAGCUUUUUGAUAUUAUGUGUAUAUGAAUGCUUUGAACAUUUGCAAUAUCAUAUUUGCAGUUUUUUUUAAAAAAAUUGUUUCCCGCA